rnacentral:ncRNA from 1 species
AUACUUCGCGCCGCUUAAGGUGCCGGACGCAAGAAUGCGUCUGGUUAAACGAGAAACAGGUGAGGAGUUAACUCCUAAGGCCUGUGCUGCCCCCGCAACGGUAAGCAGGUGUGGACGUGUCAAUAAUCUGGAUGUUUCAAAAAUUCACGUGAUGCUCGCGCAGUAUUCGUUUAAUAAAUAAAUUUAAUAGGGAAGCAGCGGUUUCUUCCUGGUUAGUUAAAUUUAUAGUAGACAUAAACUAGCAAGCGACAAAUGUAAGCGCGUAAGUUAUGGAAUGCUUGAGUUAAGCCACUGUGAGCAAUCAUGGGAAGGCGAUGCGUCUAGUCCUGCAAGCCCGGAUACCGGCCUUGUGCACAGGAGCCUCA